CCUACGGGGGGCAGCAGUGGGGAAUAUUGGGCAAUGGGCGCAAGCCUGACCCAGCAAUGCCGCGUGAAGGAAGAAGGCUUUCGGGUUGUAAACUUCUUUGACAGGGGAAGAGCAGAAGACGGUACCCCUUGAAUAAGCCACGGCUAACUACGUGCCAGCAGCCGCGGUAAUACGUAGGUGGCAAGCGUUGUCCGGAUUUACUGGGUGUAAAGGGCGUGCAGCCGGAGAGACAAGUCAGAUGUGAAAUCCACGGGCUCAACCCGUGAACUGCAUUUGAAACUGUUUCCCUUGAGUGUCGGAGAGGUAAUCGGAAUUCCUUGUGUAGCGGUGAAAUGCGUAGAUAUAAGGAAGAACACCAGUGGCGAAGGCGGAUUACUGGACGAUAACUGACGGUGAGGCGCGAAAGCGUGGGGAGCAAACAGGAUUAGAUACCCUUGUAGUC
rnacentral:rRNA from 1 species